rnacentral:rRNA from 1 species
UCCGCAAUGGGCGAAAGCCUGACGGAGCAAGACCACGUGGGGGAGGAAGGUUCUUGGAUUGUCAACCCCUUUUCUCAGGGAAGAACACAAUGACGGUACCUGAGGAAAAAGCAUCGGCUAACUCCGUGCCAGCAGCCGCGGUAAUACGGGGGGUGCAAGCGUUAUCCGGAAUGAUUGGGCGUAAAGAGUCCGUAGGUAGUCAUCCAAGUCUGCUGUUAAAGAGCGAGGCUUAACCUCGUAAAGGCAGUGGAAACUGGAAGACUAGAGUGUAGUAGGGGCAGAGGGAAUUCCUGGUGUAGCGGUGAAAUGCGUAGAGAUCAGGAAGAACACCGGUGGCGAAGGCGCUCUGCUGGGCUAUAACUGACACUGAGGGACGAAAGCUAGGGGAGCGAAUGGGAUUAGAUACCCCAGUAGUCCUAGCGGUAAACGAUGGAAACUAGGUGUGGCCUGUAUCGACCCGGGCCGUGCCGAAGCAAACGCGUUAAGUUUCCCGCCUGGGGAGUACGCACGCAAGUGUGAAACUCAAAGGAAUUGACGGGGGCCCGCACAAGCGGUGGAGUAUGUGGUUUAAUUCGAUGCAACGCGAAGAACCUUACCAGGACUUGACAUCUCUGGAAUCUCCUUGAAAGGGGAGAGUGCCGUAAGGAACCAGAA